rnacentral:rRNA from 1 species
UACGUAGGGUGCAAGCGUUAAUCGGAAUUACUGGGCGUAAAGCGUGCGCGGGCGGUUUUGUAAGACAGAUGUGAAAUGCCCGGGCUUAACCUGGGAACUGCAUUUGUGACUGCAAGGCUAGAGUGUGUCAGAGGGGGGUAGAAUUCCACGUGUAGCAGUGAAAUGCGUAGAUAUGUGGAGGAAUACCGAUGGCGAAGGCAGCCCCCUGGGAUAACACUGACGCUCAUGCACGAAAGCGUGGGGAGCAAACAGG